GAUGAACGCUAGCGGCAGGCUUAAUACAUGCAAGUCGAGGGACCGGCACACGUGUGCGGAACACGUACACAACCUUCCUUGAAUAGGGGGAUAGCCCAUAGAAAUGUGGAUUAAUACCCCGUAAUUCGAGAUGGGUGUGCGGCUGAUUAGGUAGUUGGCGGGGUAAAGGCCCACCAAGCCUUCGAUCAGUAGCUGAUGUGAGAGCAUGAUCAGCCACACGGGCACUGAGAAACGGGCCCGAUUCCUACGGGAGGCAGCAGUAAGGAAUAUUGGUCAAUGGACGCAAGUCUGAACCAGCCAUGCCGCGUGAAGGAUGAAGGUCUCUGGAUUGUAAACUUCUUUUAUAGGUGGCGCAGUACCCUAUGAAUAAGCACCGGCUAACUCCGUGCCAGCAGCCGCGGUAAUAC
rnacentral:rRNA from 1 species